GGAACUAUUUUUCAGUGGUAGAGCAGCUGCUUUGACUGCAGAAAACCCCAGGUUCAAUCCCUGACAGCUCCA